AGAGUUUGAUCCUGGCUCAGAACGAACGCUGGCAGCGUGGAUUAGGCAUGCAAGUCGAACGGGAAGCUAUUGUUUCAAGUUUUCGGACGAGAAACAGUAGUGGAUAGUGGCGAAAGGGUGAGUAACGCGUGGGUAACCUACCUCUAAGUUGGGGACAACUUCUUGAAAGAGAGGCUAAUACCGGAUGUGAUUAUCUGAUGCAUAUCAGAAUAAUUAAAGGUGGGACUUCGGUCCUGCCGCUAAGAGAGGGGCCCGCGUACCAUCAGCUAGUUGGUGAGGUAAUGGCUCACCAAGGCUUACGGUUAGCCGGCCUGAGAGGGUGAUCGGCCACACUGGGACUGAGACACUGCCCAGACUCCUACGGGAGGCUGCAGUCGAGGAUCAUUGACAAUGCGCGAAAGCGUGAUCAUGCGACGCUGCGUGGAGGAUGAAGGCCUUAGGGUUGUAAACUCCUGUCAUUCGGGAAAAAUUGUGCGAUGGUUAAUACCCAUUGCAUUUGAUGUACCGAAAGAGAAGCCACGCUAACU
rnacentral:rRNA from 1 species